rnacentral:rRNA from 1 species
GACAGAGGAGGCGAGCGUUAUCCGGAGUUACUGGGUGUAAAGGGUGUGUAGGCGGAGAUAAAAGUUCUACCUUAAAUCUUAACCGCCCAACGGUUAAGCAGGGUAGAAUACUUUAUCUCUAGAAGAUACCAGAAGCUAACGGAACGUACGGUGUAGGGGUGAAAUCCGUUGAUAUCGUACGGAACGCCGAAGGCGAAGGCAGUUAGCUAUGGUAUUCUUGACGCUGAUCUCAUGAAAGCUAGGGGCGCAAACCGG